rnacentral:rRNA from 1 species
CUACGGGCCGCUGCAGUGGGGAAUAUUGGACAAUGGACCAAAAGUCUGAUCCAGCAAUUCUGUGUGCACGAUGACGGUUUUCGGAUUGUAAAGUGCUUUCAACAGGGAAGAAGUUCUGACGGUACCUGUAGAAGAAGCGACGGCUAAAUACGUGCCAGCAGCCGCGGUAAUACGUAUGUCGCAAGCGUUAUCCGGAUUUAUUGGGCAUAAAGGGCAUCUAGGCGGCUUAGUAAGCCUGAUGUGAAAAUGCGGGGCUCAACUCCGUAUUGCGUUGGAAACUACUAAGCUAGAGUAUUGGAGAGGUAGGCGGAACUACAUGUGUAGAGGUGAAAUUCGUAGAUAUAUGUAGGAAUGCCGAUGACGAAGGUAGCUUACUGGACAAUUACUGACGCUGAAGUGCGAAAGCUAGGGGAGCAAACAGGAUUAGAUACCCGUGUAGUC